rnacentral:rRNA from 1 species
AUUGAACGCUGGCGGCAGGCCUAACACAUGCAAGUCGAGCGAGCGGCGGACGGGUGCGUAAUGUAUGGGGACUGCCCGAUCGAUGGGGAUAACUACUGGAACCGGUGGCUAAUACCGCCUACUGUCGGAUAACCCAUAUGGGAUUAGCUAGUAGGUAAGGUAAUGGCUUACCUAGGCGACGAUCCCUAGCUGGUCUGAGAGGAUGCUCCGCCACACUGGGACUGAGACACGGCCCAGACUCCUACGGAGGCAGCAGUGGGGAAUAUUGCACAAGGGGGGCAAGCCUGAGGCAGCCAUGCCGCGUGUAUGAAGAAGGCCCUAGGGUUGUAAAGUACGUUCAGUCGGGAGGCGUUACCGACAGAAGAAGCACCGGCUAACUCCGUGCCAGCAGCCGCGGUAAUAC